rnacentral:miRNA from 1 species
AGGACAAAGACUUGGCUGCCGA